rnacentral:rRNA from 3 species
CGGUGAAGUGUUCGGAUCGAGGCGACGUGGGCGGUUCGCCGCCGACGACGUCGCGAGAAGUCCACUGAACCUUAUCAUUUAGAGGAAGGAGAAGUCG